UACGGAGGAUCCAAGCGUUAUCCGGAUUUAUUGGGUUUAAAGGGUGCGUAGGUGGAUUAUUAAGUCAGUGGUGAAAGCCUGCAGCUUAACUGCAGAAUUGCCAUUGAUACUGAUAGUCUUGAGUACAGUUGAGGUGGGCGGAAUGUGUCAUGUAGCGGUGAAAUGCUUAGAUAUGACACAGAACACCGAUUGCGAAGGCAGCUCGCUAAACUGUAACUGACACUGAGGCACGAAAAGCGUGGGUAGCAAACAGGGAU
rnacentral:rRNA from 1 species